rnacentral:rRNA from 1 species
GUCCACGCCGUAAACGAUGGGUGUUAGGUGCUGCGGGCUUUGACCCCUGCUGUGCCGUAGCUAACGCAUUAAGCACCCCGCCUGGGAAGUACGGCCGCAAGGCUAAAACUCAAAGGAAUUGACGGGGCCCGCACAAGCGGUGGAGCAUGUGGUUUAAUUCGACGCAACGCGAAGAACCUUACCUGGGCUAGAAAACGUAGGAACCCUGCUGAAAAGUGGGGGUGCUCUUCGGAGAACCUGCGGUUAGGUGCUGCAUGGCUGUCGU